AUCGUUGCCUGUUUCGAGUGAUCACAAUGGAGGCACAUCAUGUCCAGAUGUUUUCAGCUGGGAAAACUUUUUUUUUUUCGAGCAAGGGUAGAUCGACUGGUUUUGACACUUCAUGUUCCGAAAAUUCGGUAGAUUAUGGUUGGGGAGAUAAAUGGUUAUACUACCAUGAGUUUUACAUCAGACGGAAUGAUCACAACCGAGAAACGCGGAUCCGUAAUGCAAGGUUAAAUGUUAUCAGUCGUGUCUGGUGAAGCUGAAAAAACUCAUUGCUCUGAUGGAUAGGAAGUUGCUAACGGUUACCUGUGGAAUAUAAGUCGUCACCCACGAAACAUGUUCGGAAAAUUUGACAUUGCAAUAUAAAGGGUGUGUCACAUCAAAUUGCAUCACGGAAAAAACGCUGUAGAAAUUCGCCCAGUAGACCGAUCCUUUUGAAAAUUUUAGACAGUAAAAUAAAAACUAUUAAACAA